AAUGGCGGAUGGCGCCUGUACGCGCCACGUUUAUAUAGGUCCUGCCCACCUAGCACGUGAUCAGAAUUUCCACCAAUUACAAGUCGCUACGCUAAUAAUCGACGUUCCCCUGCGCUUUUCUUGGGCGGCUCCUCUUGCCCAGUAGGCAGGUCUAUGCUCGCUAUAGCAACCAAAAAUUAGAGGGAAGGCUCGGCAGGGCCGUCCGUACCUCAUGGAGGCACAGGAAGAGAUCGUGUUUUGGUCGGAAGUGGUGGGCCUACUGACAGAUAAAGCUUAUGAGGGUUUACACAGGUCGUAUGUUCCCAUCCUGUUAAAACUGCAUUUAAAUAGCCGACUUUCCUGCCGGAAAAGCGUACAGCGUCUCUUAAGGUUGCCGCCUGAGUUUCUUCUUUUAAGGGACACUUGAGCAUUGUGCAACUUUGAAUACGAGCCGCAUUGGAUUGUGGAUCUGAGUUCAAGAUGGCAGCCUCUCAUGUAGAAUUCACAGCAAAUGAGUGCAGCGUGGUAAUGAAGUUCCUGUCCUGAAAGGGAAGACAGCCAAAGAAAUCUGCUGUGAUAUGCCAGAGACAGUUGACCAGUGUCCUUCCUAUUCCACAGUUAAAAACUGGGUUGCCAGAUUUAAGACAGGACAUUCAGCACUGAAAAUGAAGACUGACCAGGAAGGCCUGUUGUGGUCACCAUUCCAGAAAAUGUGGAUGCCAUCCACAACGUGAUAUUGGCAGACUGAAGAAUUUCUGCUAUAAAGAUACCUGAAAGUCUGGGGAUGUCUUGUGAACAUGUUGGAUUAAUCAUCCAUGAUGUGCUGGACAUGAGGAAGCUGUUGGCUAAAUGGGUGCUGAAAUGUCUGAAUGUGGAUCAGAAGCAGGUACUGAAAUCAAAGCAGCAGGGGAAGUUGUCAAAAGGGUCCUGUUUUUGCAGGACAAUGCUUCUGCACACACAGCUGGCGUCACACAGGCCAAGUUUGCUCAAAUACGCUUUGAACUGUUGAAACAUCCCAAUUAUUCACAUGAUAUAGCACCAUCAGAUUAUCAUUUGUUCCCCAACUUAAAGAAACAUUUGAAGGGAACAAAAUUCCAGACCAUUUCUGAUGCCACAUCUGCUGUUGACACCUGGUUUCAGGCAAAACCACCAGACUUUUAUUUGGAAGGCUUAAAGAAACUGGAGAAGUGGUGUGAGAAGCAUGUUGACCUCAGAAGGGAAUAUGUUGAAUAAAGUACCAGUACCAUUCCCUUAUCUCAUUUCUUUCCAUGCAAAGCCAAAGACUUAUCAGCAUCCCUUUGUAAUUGAAUCACAGCUGGGAUAAAUUGAGCUCCCCUACUCAGAUAAAAUGAAAAAAUGGCCAUUGCAGUCCUCUGUGCAUUCAGAAGCACAUAGUUUAAAUGGGCUGUCCUGAAAAACUGUACCGAGAUAUUUAAAUCAUGACACCUGCUCCAACCUGUGAUCAUUUAGCCACCAAUUUCUUAAUUUAGUUCGCUUCUCAAAUACCAUUACUUUUGUUUUAUCAUAAUUUAAUUUUAUUGCCUGAUUAUUAUAAUAAAGAGGGCACUCAAGGCUCUCCUCAAGCCAACUGAAGUUUGAGAAUGCAGAACAGCAUCAUCUGCAUAAAUCAAAAUAGAUAAAUGCCAAUCUGCUAAUUUUGGUGGAUGAUCACUUAAGUCAGCCAAAUUGGAUACAAGUGAAUUGAUGUAAAAGCUGAAUAAUAUUGGGGCCAGAAUCCAGCCUUGCCUCACCCCUAUUUUUGUUGGCACUUUAGAACAGAGGUGUAUCUAGGGAAAAUGGCACCUAGGGCAAGCACUGAAAUUGCACCCCCUGUCCAAACAUCUGACACCCAUCUUUCAGAUAAAUUUCCAUAAUAUCAGCUCAAAAAUACAAGUCAAGCUCGUUAAUCUUUUAAUAUUUAAAAACUAUUUAGCAGUGGAUGUAGCCAGACCAAAAAAUGCUGGAAAACUAUAAACUUCAGUAUGCUGGGACUCAUGAAAUACCCAAAUACUAUGUGGAGGUGUACUUGGAAAACUAAACAGAAGUGCCUGUCUAAUUCUCUACUUUGCAUUAUAGCAACACUAUUACAUAUGUUUUAAAAAUAAAUGGAGAAUUUGACUUUGCCCAGAUACUCUGAAAAUAAUUAAAGACAGAAAGACUGUUAAAAUGAGAGAAAGAGAGCAAGAAACUCCCUGUGGCCCUUAAUACUAAGGAUUUCACACUGAUUCAAAGACAAACUCACCAUUAAUAGCCAUAUUAUUAAGACAUCACAUUUAACUCACUUAUCACAAGAAGCAAAGUAAGAGUAAAUGAAUACAAUCCUAGCUCUUAAGCUUCAGCUCAGUAUUCACAAGCCCUGAUUCUCUGUACAUAGUGCCAAUCUGAAUAUGUGUACAGUGACUUAUAUUAUAUUAAUUCUUUAAAAAAAAUACUUGUAGCUCCUUCGGGGGGCUUUCUAAAGGCCAGGGGGGGGGGACUCUGCAAAGGUUCCCCCUCCCCCUGCUGGCCUCUGGGGCCUAGCAGGGACCAUCUGAGCAUGUGCAGUGGCCAUUUUUUAAAAUAUGGCUGCUGAAAACAAAAUGGCCACCACGCAUGCUCAAAUGGCUUCUGCAAGGCCUGGCAUGGUCUAGGGCCUCACAGGCCAAUUGAGCAUGCGCGGUGGCCAUUUUGUUUUCAGCAGCCAUUUUAAAUUUUUUUUUAGAUGGCGCCCCCCACCUUCAAGUGGCGCCCGGGGCACUUGCCCUGCCUGCCAUAUCCUAGAUAUGCCCCUGCUUUAGAAAGAUGGCCUGCUGUACUGUACCACACUUUUAAACAGGUACCCUCAUAAACUUUGUAUAUUAGAUGAAAGAGACAAUGCUCUAUUGAGGAGUCCAGUAAUUUGCACUGUAAUUUCUCUCCUGAUAUUAAAUUAAACACUGUUACACUGUUACUGUUACACUGUUACUGUUACACUGCCCACUUUAUACAGAUGAAAGAGAUUUAUUUUUAUGUCAGUAUCUGAAAGAUCUCCAAAGCCACUCAGUGGAGACAAUUCUAAUAUGCUUAUUAGAAGACAGGGACCAAACAAUAUCCCUGGCGGUUGCUAAAUUUUGUUACACAUUGACCAAACUAAGAGAAGCUAGAGCACAGCAAUUGGUUACUGUCAAAGAUUCCUGAUUUUAUAUAUUUGAUGACAUUUUAGACUUUGUCUCCAUUAUUUUCUUUUUACUGUGUAUAUUCUGUGUAUAUUGAUGUUUGAUCUAAGAUCGUAAAUAAACAACUAACUAACUAACUAACACAUUUUAAAAAUCCAUUAUACCAAACUACUGUAAGCACUGUUGAUUCUUAUUUGUACAUUUGUUUUGGUUUCUGGUCUUUGACUGUAAAUAAACUUGACUGACUGACAUUUUUAAAAUCUA